rnacentral:lncRNA from 1 species
UGAACUAUUUUCUAAUAAAGAAUUGGAGGAUAUAGGAAACAGUGCAGGUGAUACUAUUACGAGCUCUUCAAAUGCGCCAUCAACAGAAGAUAAACAUGUUCCUAAUACCAACGUUGCUGGAAAUAUUUUGAAGAUCAUAAAAAAUAUCCCACCUCCCGCCGUUAAAAUAAAUGAAGACAACUUAAUUGAUCCGGAUAUUAUUUGUGAAAGAGAUUACAGUGUUCCUUGUCCAAAUGAUUUUAAUUAUAUUGGAUCUGUUUAUGAAACGGAUGAUGAGAUAUGUGCACCCUCAUCAACCUAUGACGGUUAAAAGAAAAAAAAAAUUAAAGUAAAAGCAAAGAACAAACUGUAUGA